GAUGAACGCUGGCGGCGUGCCUAAUACAUGCAAGUCGAGCGAACAGGCGAGGAGCUUGCUCCUCUGACGUUAGCGGCGGACGGGUGAGUAACACGUGGAUAACCUACCUAUAAGACUGGGAUAACUUCGGGAAACCGGAGCUAAUACCGGAUAAUAUAUUGAACCGCAUGGUUCAAUAGUGAAAGACGGUUUUGCUGUCACUUAUAGAUGGAUCCGCGCCGCAUUAGCUAGUUGGUAAGGUAACGGCUUACCAAGGCAACGAUGCGUAGCCGACCUGAGAGGGUGAUAGGCCCCCCUGGAACUGAGACACGGUCCAGACUACUAAGGGAGGCAGCAGUAGGGAAUCUUCCGCAAUGGGCGAAAGCCUGACGGAGCAACGCCGCGUGAGUGAUGAAGGUCUUCGGAUCGUAAAACUCUGUUAUUAGGGAAGAACAAAUGUGUAAGUAACUAUGCACGUCUUGACGGUACCUAAUCAGAAAGCCACGGCUAACUACGUG
rnacentral:rRNA from 1 species